UGAAGAUUUACCCCUGGAUUUCUCCUGAUGUCUUGCAGCUGAUGCAUGUGCGAUUGAAAAAUACAGUGAGUGCUGCUACCGUGUGCCAACCAACAGAACAAUGGGCUUGUGAAGACACGAUACUGCAGGGCUGGGGCUUUAGCUCAGUGCUUCUGCUGCCUGCCUCACAAGCACGAGGACCUGCGUUCAAUCCCCGCUACCAAAAAAGCAAAAGACGUGAUACUGCGGCUUUAGCCACCU
rnacentral:lncRNA from 1 species